rnacentral:rRNA from 1 species
AACACAGGUGCUGCAUGGCUGUCGUCAGCUCGUGUCGUGAGAUGUUGGGUUAAGUCCCGCAACGAGCGCAACCCUUGUCAUUAGUUGCUACAUUCAGUUGGGCACUCUAAUGAGACUGCCGUGACAAGCCGGAGGAAGGUGGGGAUGACGUCAAGUCCUCAUGGCCCUUAUAGGUGGGGCUACACACGUCAUACAAUGGCUGGUACAAAGGGUUGCCAACCCGCGAGGGGGAGCCAAUCCCAUAAAGCCAGUCGUAGUCCGGAUCGUAGUCUGCAACUCGACUACGUGAAGUCGGAAUCGCUAGUAAUCGUGGAUCAGAAUGUCACGGUGAAUACGUUCCCGGGUCUU